CCUACGGGAGACAGCAGUGGGGAAUAUUGGACAAUGGGGGGAACCCUGAUCCAGCGACGCCGCGUGAGUGAAGAAGUAUUUCGGUAUGUAAAGCUCUAUCAGCAGGGAAGAAAGAAAUGACGAUACCUGACUCAGAAGCCCCGGCUAACUACGUGCCAGCAGCCGCGGUAAUACGUAGGGGGCAAGCGUUAUCCGGAUUUACUGGGUGUAAAGGGAGCGUAGACGGCGAUGCAAGUCUGAAGUGAAAGGCGGGGGCCCAACCCCCGGACUGCAUUGGAAACUGUAUGGCUUGAGUGCAGGAGAGGUAAGUGGAAUUCCUAGUGUAGCGGUGAAAUGCGUAGAUAUUAGGAGGAACACCAGUGGCGAAGGCGGCUUACUGGACUGUAACUGACGUUGAGGCUCGAAAGCGUGGGGAGCAAACAGGAUUAGAUACCCUGGUAGUC
rnacentral:rRNA from 1 species